rnacentral:tRNA from 1 species
GGUUGUUUGGCCGAGCGGUCUAAGGCGCCUGAUUCAAGGAAAAUUACAAUUCUUGACCAGAGAAAACUCUGGGAACACUCAGGUAUCGUAAGAUGCAAGAGUUCGAAUCUCUUAGCAACCA